CACCACUACAGCUGUGCUCUCAGGUUCACGUAAACACAGCACACAGGUGGGAUGUGCAGCACGAGUGCUCUCUGCUCCUCACAGAGAGGUGAUGGAGACGAUUCCUGAUGAUGAUGAUGAUGAUGAUGAUGGUUUGGAUAAGAAGUCAGGAUCUAAUCAGAGAAGUUUAGGAAUCAGGAUCUCAGUCAUUCUGUCAUCUGUGGUGUUGGUGCUCUGUGUUCCUGCACUCAUCUUUGUUAGGUAUAAAAAGUGAUCUCAAAGCAGAACUGGACCAUUUUCAGUCAGAUGAAGGGACACUCAGACACUCAGCGGCAGAAGGCAGACACCUCCUGAGGAGUGUCAGUUCAUUAUGCCAGAAUGUUACAUUUUUUUUUAUCUAAGUACUUUGUGCUGUUUAUUUAUUUUUUGUAUAUCUUUGAAAUGGUGCUGUUUAUAAAAAGUCAUGUUUUGGUGUUUUGUCAGAUAUUUAAACAUUAAGUUACUUGAAAUGCGAACUGUGAAAAUGAGCAUGAGUGGCUAACAUGAACCUUUCUCAUCAAUAACUUUGAUUAAAUUGAUUU